UACGAAGGGGGCUAGCGUUGUUCGGAAUUACUGGGCGUAAAGCGCGCGCAGGCGGUCUUCCAAGUCAGUGGUGAAAGCCCGGAGCUCAACUCCGGAAUUGCCAUUGAAACUGUUGGACUUGAGGACGAGAGAGGUGAGUGGAAUUCCCAGUGUAGAGGUGAAAUUCGUAGAUAUUGGGAAGAACACCGGUGGCGAAGGCGGCUCACUGGCUCAUUACUGACGCUCAGGCGCGAUAGCGUGGGGAUCAAACAGG
rnacentral:rRNA from 1 species